rnacentral:lncRNA from 1 species
CACAUACACACACAUACACACAUAUAUACAACAUACACACACAUAUAUACAACAUACACACACACAUACACACACACACCAUACACACAUGCACACACAUAUACACACAUAUACACACAUAUAUACAACAUACACAUACACACCAUACAUACACAAAAUACACACACACACACAUGCACGCACUUGGCUGAAGCUUUCAAAAAGAGGUCUGCAUUUCCUCAAUUAGAAUGAGAAUGCAUUUAUCCCAGUGCACUGACUCCUGCUCCUCGAAUACCCUCCCAGCUUCCCGGAGCACUUCUCCCACUCCUCUGCUUAUCUUCCAGACUGGGAAUCUGCCAGAACAACAUUUCAUCAUUUUUGCCUCUAAAUUUUCCCCUAAUGUUUCCAAUAAAAUUUUGCUUGGGUGGCCCCUUAAGGUGUCACCAAGAUACUAAACCAGACUUCUCAAAAAUAAGCACACCUCCCCCGCCCUCCCCCCCCCCCCCCAGUUCCCUCCUCGAGCCUUAGGCCUGGCUUUUCUACACUCGGACUUGAUGGUGCUUGAGGGAAGAGGUUUUCCAUGAAUCAGAAAGAGUUCUGGCAGAUUUUCAAAUGCCAACAGCAUGCCAUUCCGCCCACCACCCAUGGCUAGCCCCCAUUCGCUUUCAAACCUCAGAGACCAGGCUUGGCUUAUAUAGGUCUACAGGACCCCUCUGUUUCGGGCCACAUCUGUCAUCCCAUCUUUUCUGAAAGAUGUGACUGGUGCCGGCUUAAGGCAGAAGUGUUUCCUCAGCACAGGCUGGGUGAGUUUGUUUGCAUAGUGACAGCCACUCAGCCAGGCAGGAGAGAAGAUUCACAAAAGGCCUGACCAUGAGGAGUCAGAAGAGCCUCUAACGUGCUCUUGAACUCAGCUUGGAUCCUGAACAAGGGACACUUCAGGCUGGUACCAACUUGGUUCUCUCUGAAGCGCAUGCGUCUGUGCUGCUCUCAACCCUGUUCUCCGGAAACCUCGAGCAGAUCGCAGCUUAUCCUAGGAUGGGGGAGACUAUGCGAAAGCAGCUGUAGGUAAAGGUACCAGCAGGCCAGUACAGGGGACAGGAUUCUGAGAGGAUGCGCCCAUCUAGCAUGUCCACCUUCUAGUCAGCAUCCCCUGAUCCCUCGGCACCUCAGCCCCCUCCUGGCUGGUCCCUUCAAGCAGAGCCAUGAUUCCCUCUGCAGGGUCAUCAGUGGUUCAGACCCCAGCUUUGGCUUACGGUUUCCUUCUGGGCCUGUGUCCUCAGCUCCAUGUUGGUCACCUCUUCAGUGCGGGCAUUGUGUUAUUUCCUCUCUCCACCCUUCACCCACGCUUAACGCACCGAGUGGAACUGUUUGCCAGCUGAGCUGUGAGGAUUAACUUCAGUCAGCUGUAAAUACACCUGGAGGAGCUCCAGAGGGAGGGAGCCAGACUGGCUUUCCGAACUGAAUGUAUUUUUAUGCAAUUUUGAGUGGCCUUUUCAACCCUGAGAUGGAUGGAUUUGUUUUACUGGUUGUUGUUAUAUAGUAUUAAGUAUUCUGUGUUUGAAAGUUUGGGAAUAAUAUUCACAUCUAUAUGAUGCCUGUAAACACAACAGUAUUUAUAAAUGAGUAAAUAAAACUGUGUUUUAACUUUA